UACGAAGGGGGCUAGCGUUGCUCGGAAUUACUGGGCGUAAAGCGCACGUAGGCGGCUUUCUAAGUCGGGGGUGAAAUCCUGGAGCUCAACUCCAGAACUGCCUUCGAUACUGGAGAGCUUGAGUCCGGGAGAGGUGAGUGGAACUGCGAGUGUAGAGGUGAAAUCGUAGAAUUAUUCGCAAGAACACCAGUGGCGAAAGGCAGGCCUCGCUGGACCCGGGUGCUGAA
rnacentral:rRNA from 1 species